GCAUAUAAUUGCUAUUAUUAUGUUUCACAAAGUUUAAUGAAUAAAGUUAUUAUAAAUAAUGAUUGCAAUAAAUUUUUAAUUUUUAACCAGGCAAUCUAUGUUUACGAUAUACAUUUUUUUUAUUACAGUAAUGAUAUUCCAGUAUAAAUUUUACCUGACUUAUAUAUAGAGAGUAUAAUAUAUGAUCACGCAACGUUGGGCCAGCAUUGGCCCAACAUAGAGUUGUAAAUGUAAUUUCAGUUGAUAAACACUUUCGGUAUAACAUUAACUUUUCAUAAAGCCUGCUGCAAUCGAAAUUAUCCGCCUCCCAAGAGAAAUAAAGCGUAAAAUAUUAUAUAAUCAAUUCUAUUAACAAAAUUUCAUAUCGGCCCUAUGUUGCUACUAACAUAAUGCCAACAUUUGCCCGAUUAUUUAUAACCAACAUGAGAUAAUAAUAUGAAUUUACAACAACAGACCAACGUUGGGCCAAUGUUGUGCAGCCGACACCAACGUGCGACCAAUGUACCGACAAUUUGCCAACGUUGGGCCAAUGUUGUGCAGCCAACAUAAACUUGCGACCAACGGACCGACAAUUUGCCAACGUUGGGCCAAUGUUGUGCAGCCAACAUAAACUUGCGACCAACGGACCGACAAUUUGCCAACGUUGGGCCAAUGUUGUGAAGCCAACACCAAC
rnacentral:lncRNA from 1 species